CCGCCGCCGCCCUUCUUCACCUUCAUGGCCUCGCGGGGCCGCGGCUCGCCUGCUGCCGCCGCGGCUGCCUGCGCCGGCUGGAGCCGAGAGAAGGGGGAGCGUCCGCAGCCCCGCCCCCGGCCGGACCGGGGCCCCAGGGCCCUCCAGGACAGGAAGGCAGGAAGGGCAUCUGGCCAGGUGGAAGUAAAAUGGACCAAUGAGCCCAGGAAGACAGGAGGAAACCAUGACUUACACACAAAUGAAGAAUGAAAGUCGACACAGGUCCGGGCAACAGCUCUAUCUCUGUGGGCUAGAAACUAAGAGAUGGCACACUGAGCAAGAAGAAACAAACCACUGGCAAGUUUGAUACAAGCAGACAGACAUGGCAAAGAGGCAAGUACAAG